ACGAACGCUGGCGGCGUGCUUAACACAUGCACGUCGAACGGAAAGGCCUGCUUUCCCUUGUGGAUUGCGGGUACUCGAGUGGCGAACGGGUGAGUAACACGUGAGUGAUCUGCCCCCAACUUGGGUAUAAGCCUGGGAAACUGGGUCUAAUUCCCGAUAGGACUGCAGGGUGGUGCCUGUGGUGGAAAACGAUUUUCUAGUGGUUGGGGAUGAGCUCGCGGCCUAUCAGCUUGUUGGUGGGGUAAUGGCCUACCAAGGCGGCGACGGGUAGCCGGCCUGAGAGGGUGGACGGCCACAUUGGGACUGAGAUACGGCCCAGACUCCUACGGGAGGCAGCAGUGGGGAAUAUUGCACAAUGGGCGGAAGCCUGAUGCAGCGACGCCGCGUGGGGGAUGACGGCCUUCGGGUUGUAAACUCCUUUCGACCGCGAGGAAGCCACCUGGUUGGAAGGGUGGUGACGGUAGUGGUAGAAGAAGCACCGGCUAACUACGUG
rnacentral:rRNA from 1 species